UCCACCGGGACCCCACCAUUCGGCUGAAAUGUCUCGCAUAGUCUGAACGGAGGACGGAAUUGCGUACCCAAAAAGGAGCCUCGAGUUGCUCCAGGAGACCCAUGACCAGCUGGAGAGAUUGCUGUCAGCCGACUUAAGCCAGCGGGGCCCUACCUUUUCGCAUUAUUCGCCUUGCUGGAUCGGGGUCUCCUGAGGCGUCCUUCCAAAUGCCGGGCGCUCUGAUGAAGCAUGCAUUUCAUUCCAUGCCUGGCCGUCAGCGCCUGAGCGUGGAAACGUUAGUUGUUU
rnacentral:lncRNA from 1 species